UUUAUCCCAAGAGUACUCUACCAUUGAGCUACACCCUCAACCCAUUUUAUUUUUAUUUUAUCUUUUUUUUUGAUACCAGGGAUUGAACUCAGGGGCACUCAACCACUGAGCCAUAUCCCCAGCCCUAUUUGUAUUUUAUUUAGAGACAGGGUCUCAAUGAGUUGCUUAGUGCCUCACUGUUGCUGAGGGUGGCUUUGAACUCAAGAUCCUGUCUCAGCCUCCCAAGUUACUGGGAUUACACAUGUGCACCACCACACCCGGCUCAGUUUUAUUUUUAUUGUGAGACCCGGUCUUUCCCUCACCAUUCUCCUUGUACCUUCUUAGAAGGCAGGAAACAACCAGUAUACUCUUUGAGUCCUCAGGAUAGAAGACAGGGCCUGGCACACAGGAGGACCCCAGUCAACACUUGUAGAAUUGGAAUACAUGCUAAAUGACUGGAUGAACAAUCCCAGUGUCCUAACGAUGAGCUAUAUGGCUAUCACUGUGCAGAGGGUGGGAGGGCAAUGGAAUAACCAUGGAUCUCUGUAUUAGGACCAUGCAGAAGAAUGAGACCCAUUCUGCGGUAUUGAUCUUUCAUAUCUUUUAGCCAGUUAGGGUGUUCCUCUCUGCAGAUAAAAUAUUUUCUUUCUGAAGGGACCCCCAUCUAUUUUCUCCUAAGGCUUUUGACUGAUUGGAUGAGGCCCAACUACACUAUGGAGGGUCAUCUGCUUUAUUCAAGGUCUACUGAAGUAAAUGUUAGUCUCAUCUAAGAAGUACCUCCAGAGACCUCAAGCCUGGUGUUUGAAAAUAUACCUGUGUACAUGGCCUAGCCAGGUGAAAACAUAAAGCUAACCAUCAUAGGCCAGCUAAUACAAAUCAUCAAGUUCUAUAUUAGAAAGGUAAGUGACUACUUAAGUUUCUGUAUUAAUCUCUCUUCUUGACCCAAGUAAUCAACUCAAGCUCAGUCCAAUUCUGACCUGACCUGAAUGCCUGCCAGGGCUGAGAUAGGCUCAGGAUAGGCAGGUACACAUGCAAGUACAUCUUGGAAACCAAUCAUUUACAAUUGUUCAGGCACACCCAGCAGAACAUGUCAGUCAGACAGGGCAACUGACCAGGGCCUCCAGUGUGGCCCCCUACUGUGUGACCUUUCACUGUCCAGUUCCUGGUCCUUGUGUCUUUGGUUUCAGAGGAACUGCCAGAGGCAGUCAGCUCCAGUUUUGUUAGUCUGUGACACCAGUUCUUCCCCUUUCCAAGUGUGGAUGACAUUGAUGGGUGUUCUGCAUGGGAAGUUCACACGCUGGGUCACCCCUGCUGUCUCUGUCAGGUGUGACUGGAAGCUUGGCAGGCAGGGUGAUUUCAUUUUUUCUCUUAAUCUUUUCUUCUUAUCAGUUGUGCCUAUGGAAAGUAGUGAGUGUGAUUUCAAAGUGCUCAUAGUGGAUAGAAAGGCAGCAUGAGUAGUAUUUGUUCAGGAAAAGGGGAAAUUUUCUGGAACCAUUUAAAGAAACAUAGAUCAUUAAUGUCCUCUCCCACCCUUGUCUCUCCCCAGGUGGCAGGGUUUGAGGUUUCUCCAUUGUUAGGAAAUCAGCAUGUUCCAUUCUGUCAUCUAAACUUCUCAUUUCUUUUGUCUGAAAGGACUAUAUGCAAGAUGAUGAAAACACUGUCAUAGUAAAAUAAUUUUCUAUAAUUUAACUAUAAAGACACAUCAUAUCUAGGAACUGUCAGGAUGAAAUCUUGAAUUUAAAAAAAAUUAAACAGGUUUCCAUAGCCUCCCAUCCCUUUUGUCUCUAUCAUUUAUCCAGUGAGAACACUGGAAAAGAGCAAUCUCUUGCUGGAAACACUGCUUGAAUAGUCAAACUGUCUGAUAUGUUACAUUAGUUUUAUCACACAUCCAGAUGCAAUAUCCACAAAAUGCAAGGUCAUUUUAAAAAUUAUCCCUUUUUAUCGUCUUGCUGAAAAAACAUCCCAACCCUUAGCAGUGCAUUUAGUAUUUACAGGGUUGCCAUUAUAGGAGCUAAGGGAAGUACUGUCUGGAGCAUUGGAAGGGGGCCUGCAGUAGCCAAGCUGAAAAACAGGCUGAAGAGUGUUUUCCCCUCUGCUUUACCUAAAACUUUGCUCCAGCCUAGGGAAUUGAUUAAUUUUUUUCCUCUCCCAUUUCAAAGAGAGAGCAACUCAAAACAUUUAACAUUUUUGGUCUAUCCAAAGCUCACUUUGGGGAACCUUUAGUUACUUUCUGCUCCUGCCUAGAGAGAGAACAAAAAACCAAAGCCAGCACCUAGCUGCACCUAUUUCUCUUCACAUCAUUCAGAAAGGCCAAGGCAGCCAAGGGAUUCUGUGAGUCAACUCUCCUUCAGUCAAAUGUAUUAUUUUUAAAUUCUAUAAUUCGCAUUUACUUCUCAUAAUAGACAACAGUUCAACUGCUGUUUCAUAUUAUGGGUAAAUCCAUAGUCCCCAGACAUCAAAGGGUCAUCACUCAUACCCCCCAUCACCAAACUGUAGUGAAUCAGGGUCUUGCCAGGGAAUCACACAACUGCCACCCCUGUGCCAGGAUUCUCCAAGACUAUCCUUACUUUCAAUGAUUCUCCAGGAGGACUUGCAGAACUCAACAUAUAGUUGUCCUCAUGGUUAAGACUUGUAUAGCCAAAGGAUGCAAAGCAAAAUCAGGGAGGGGCAAAGUCUAGAAGAAACUAGUAAAACUUCCAAGGGUCCUUUCCCAGCAGAGUCACACAAUUUGUCCCUCCAGCAAUGAAUUAUGACAACACGUGUGAAGUGUUGUCUACCAGGGAAACUCAUCAGAACCUCAGUGCCCAAGUUUUUUAUUGGUGGCUGCUCACAAUAGGCACCCUCUGCCCAACAUGUAUGUACCAAGAUUUCAGAUUCCCAGGAGGAAAGCUGGGGUUUAGCAUAAAUCAUAUUGCUUGAACAAAGAGUUUAAGAGCUAAUCACUCUUAUCAGGCACAUAAUGAUGGGAAACUUCCCCGAAUCCAUUUUCCCAGUUGCCAGGCAAAGGUCAAUAUUGUAAGCUGGCCUUUCUCAGGACAGUAGUCUCAGGCUUUCUAUAUUAACUUUUUUUUCUGCACAGAAGAGAACACAAAUAUUCAAAAUACAUAAUAAAAUCAGACAGAACUGAACAAAUCAGCAAUAUAGAGAUUAAAUGAAUGAUACCAUGAACCAAGUGGAUUUAGUUGACAUGUACAGAACAUUCCACAUAACAAUAGCAGAUUAUAUAUUCAAGUGCAUAUGGAAGUUUCACCAAGAUAGACCAUAUCCUAGAACAUAAAAUAAAUCUUACCAAGUAUAAAAUACUUGAAAUCAUAUAAGAAUUUUCUCUAACAAAAAUAGAAAAAAACUACAAAUAAAAAGUUGACAGAAAUAUUUCCAACUGUGUAGAAAUUAAGUCAUAUACUUGUAAAUAAUCCACAAGACAAAGCAAAGUCCAAAAGAAAACUUAAAAAUUAAAAACCUGCCAACCAGGCAAUGAGAAUUACUAUGCUCUGUAAAAAUGUUUUAAUGCAGGUAUAUGUAGAUAUUAACACUAAUUCUGUCUGGUUUCAAGCCAAAUAUAUAAAGAGACUCAUGUAGUAUGUCCUCUUUUAUAUCUGGAUUCUUUCACUUAACAUUACUUCUGUGUACUCCUUUGUUCAUUCCAUCUCAUAGUUGUAUAGUACUCCAGGGUGCAGUAUUCCAGUGUAGCACAAUUUAUCUGUACAUUUCCCAUCAGUGGAUAAUUGGGUAGUUUCCAGGUUUUUUGUUGUUUUUGUCAUUGUUUUGUUUUAUGCUAUUAUAAAUAGGGUUAUUUUCUCAUGAGCAUCUCUGUACCUUUCCUAGAUUUACACAUAUGGGCAAGAUUAUUGACCAGAUAGUUUAUGAUAGCAAAAAAGUAAAUCAAAUACCAUCUAACCAAUGACUUAAUUAACAGUGAUGAUAAUAAAUAAUGUCAUAUCAUCAGAAUCAUUUCAGACUAUGUGAGCUGGAUAAAUUACACAAGUGUUCCCUUGGUGGCUGUUGUGAUGAUGGCUCACAGCUCUAAUGAUGGCAUGUGGGUCACAGUAACCAAUGGGGCAGUGAGCUCUCUGAGCUCAUCUCAGGGCUCUGGUGGGCAGAGAUGAGGAUAAAUAGGAAGGAGCCAGUGAAAAAGGCACCUGCCUGCCACAAAUCACUAUGGAGCCAACUUAUUCUGGCCUCUCUGGCCCAUGGUUCUGGUCACAGCCUCAGCGUGUCCCCCUACCUGACCACACUGAGUACUUCUAGGAAGGCAAUCCCUGGGGGUGAGGUGGCCCACAUCAGUCCUUUCCCACUAAGUCUGACUUUCUCCUCCUUUUCUUGAGCCAAAUCUGCUUUCUUAUGGCUUCAGCUCCCCCUCCACUCAGGAGCAUCCCCCAUAUGCUGAGAGAAAAAUUAUGCCCAUUGAACAGGUUAGGAGACUGAGGCCAUAAAGGGCAGGAACUGGAUCUGCAGCAGCACAGCAGAGCAGUGGGUAGGUGGUGGGUAGGCCAUCCCUUAACCCACAGCCAUACAUCUUCUCAAGCCACCUCAAGCCAUGUGGAGAUUUUCUGCUGCUUGCUCCCCUGAGCGGCCUCCUGGCCUGUACCUCCCCCAGACCACUAGACCUGGGGCACCUACCUGCCCCAAUGAGGGAUUCUAGACUCAUCAUUCAGGCCCUGGAAGAGGACUGGGCAGAGGCUGAUCUAGCAGCUGCCCAGGAUAUAUCUGGGAGUUUGGUGGCCUUCUAAACCCCAGGUUGCUGGAAUUGUCCCCAAUGCCUUUAGGAUCUAGACCUGUGUGCCCUUAGGACUGGCCGAGCUGUACCCCGACCUGCCUAUGGUUCCAGCUUCAGAGCCAAUACAUCUUGUGGGGGAAAAAAGCCUAUAAUGCAAACUUUAGAUGAGAAGAAGAUUAAAAAUAUUAGAGCCUUGGAAAUGAACUCCUGGUAGGAAGAAGAAGAAAAUAAGGAAGAAGAGGGCAUAUUCAGAAAACCCAGAACAGCACUCACUAAAAUCUGGGACUAUCAAGAUGGUGCAGUCCCCACCCCCGGCCAGGCUGCCUCCACCUCUCCAUAUUUAGAGGAGGCAGCUCCAAGGGACACCUCGCCCUAAGGCUCAUGCACUCAGGGCCUGUCACCCCUCUAGGAGUUAAUGUUUAAAAUUCCCUUGUCUUCUCUGAGGCCUUCGCUGUCUUGGAACUGUGACACUCCCUGCUGGCAAAGAUGGGUAUUGCUGCAACAUAGACUCCAUGGCUGAGUUCUACCAGGUAACACCAAGACCUCAAUGUGUAACCACAGUCACCAUGGGGCCACAGGCUUCUGCCAGGCUUCCCUAAAUGAAAAUAAAACUCAUUUUAACUUAACAGGAACCUUAGGCUUGAUCAACUAUGAUUUCAUGGAAAAUCACCCACCAUCCAUUAACAUAAAAAGAGAAUUUUUCUUAGAUUUCAGUGUUUAAACAGAAGAAAAUAACAUGAACAAAACUCACAGGGAAUAUACUUGAUAUAUGAGAAACAUUAGUUACAUAGUAUAUGAAUUCCAGGAUUGAAAAGUUUUCCUCUGUGAAAAGUAAGGUCUAACGGAAGUUUGAUGUACAUCUUUAAUACAUAAAAGAGAGCUCAUGUAUAAUGGCAUAAUUUGGCGUGAACAUAUUUUAUAUACAGUUAUGAAAAAUGUGCUGUGAAUGGAUAAUUAUGAAUGUAAUGCAUUCCACUAUUGUCAUGUAUGUAAGAAAUAAAAAAAAGAAGAUCC
rnacentral:lncRNA from 1 species